rnacentral:rRNA from 1 species
CGUCNGCCUGUGGGGUGAGCCAUUACCUCACCAACAAGCUGAUAGGCCGCGAGUCCAUCCAAAACCGAUAAAUCUUUCCAACUCCCACCAUGCGGUAGGCGCUCCUAUCCGGUAUUAGACCCAGUUUCCCAGGCUUAUCCCAGAGUUAAGGGCAGGUUACUCACGUGUUACUCACCCGUUCGCCACUAAUCCACCCAGCAAGCUGGGCUUCAUCGUUCGACUUGCAUGUGUUAAGCACGCCGCCAGCGUUCAUCCUGAGCCAUGAUCAAACU